ensembl:rRNA 5S_rRNA 5S ribosomal RNA
GCUCACGGCCAUACCAGCCAAAGAACUCCUGAUCUCGUCUGAUCUCUGAAGCUUAGAAGGCUUGGGCCUGGUUAGUACUUUGAUGGUAGACUGCCUGGGAAUACCAGGUGCUGUAAGCU